CUGUGUAUUCACACAUAAUACUCCAAACUCCACUAUCCUUGUUGAUAUCUCUACAUAAGGUGUAGAAAACAGCAGAAACAUUUCACCAUCAGGUAUUGGGGCCUUAAGAACUAAAAGUUUGGGUUAGAACUGUGUUUCCUUGUAUUAAUGAAUUUUGUACACCACUCAGAUGGAAGCUAAUUUAUAACUUUGUCUCUGAACCAGUUCGAGUGGAACAUAGAUUUAAUAUGAAAACAAAUUAUGAAAUUGUGUACUUUCCUCAUAAAAAUAUAUUGGGAUGAAUCCAAGACUUAUCAAAUCUGUCGCAGUUACUGUACAGAGAUUAAUUUGUGCUGUUUGUCUGGAAUCAAGUUUUAACUGGAUUCAGGAAAGAUAAGAUCAUGCAGGUAUAAACUAAUUUGGUCCACUAUUUUGAAAUGUAAAUUUUGUAAGAAUUGAAUGUCUAAAAAUAUCUGGAAUAAUUGAACUCCAUUAAUGUAUUGUUCAAUUAGCUUCCACUUGUGGGAAUAUUGAUACAGCUGACGUGCUAUUUCCUGACAGUCUUUAUUGUUCUUAAAUGAUUUGAACCUGGUUUACUUAUCUGUGCAAGAAGAUUGUAUUUUGAACAAUGGUAAAAGCCAAGUGGUUAGUUUGGUUUUUUUUCAAUAAAUUACUCCCUGACUUCUUUGUCAGACUAUUAGCUUUUGAUGUGUGAGCUCUAUGUCCUCUAACAUAGUCAUAAUAUUCCUUGUCUUCAUCCUAAACACAGAUAUCUGUACAUCAAAAUUCCCAUCCCUACUUCAUAUAAUAUUAACUUGCUAAGAUUAAUCUUUCCAACAAAUUUCUAACAUGUUCCAGGGAUUUUCCUUAAUAAUAACCAUACUCUUUUUUCUCUCCUUCUAACAGUCAGAUGAAUGAUUCAAAAUGUUUUGUCUGAAUGAAGAUGACCAGUCUCCUUAUCUGUCUUCACAGUGUGUAAUACUGAAAGAUGCAAGAAUGUACAAAAUGAUACAGGGGAAGUGAAUGGAAUUAGAAGAUGCAUGCAGAGCCUCAUAGCCCAGAACCAUCCAGUGAAAUGAAGGUGCCCCAAACUGACUCAUUUAUUACCUAUUCGUUUGCUGUGAUGCGAUCUCCAGGAGCAAAAAAAUGCUGCAAUAUAGUAAUGUUUAAACAUGAAGACCUAUUCUGAUCAACUGAGAUUAUUCCUUAAACUGAGAAUCACAGAAUGUAUAUAAAAUCCAACUUGCAUAUGUGAUCACCAACAUUCUAUUUUUUUAAAAAAUUAUUUUGCUAACAAACCAGAUGAAAUUCUUUGAAGCAC